GGAUCGUUUCGCAAGCAAGGAGGACGGGAUACAACUAGCGCGGGACGAGAAACUAUACGUAUAACUAAAAACAUGAAAGCUUAGCGUGGACGCAGAGUUCCCGGUGAACACCGAGAUAAAUAGCAUUGUAAACCGGCCAGGGAUACGAGUACGUUGCUCGUUUACAGGAAUUCCUCAAGUCAUAUAUACCUUAACGCUGCCUUCUAAGCGACGUUCCGAUCGUCGAUCGAGAGUAUCGAUAAGUCGAUCGAUGCCGAAUACCAUCCCGGAGAAAAGCAGGAACGCGAAGUAGAACUAGGAUGAGGGAGGAGGAAGCGAGCGAAGGUCUGAAAGAGAAGAAAAAAUGCGUAGAAGGGGACAAAGAUAUGGAGGAGAUACGGAAGGUGGAAAAAGAGGCGACGAUGAGAAAGAGGAGUAGAAUUAGAAGGAAAAAGUGUGGAGGAAACGUACGCUGCAAGGAGAAGAGAGAAAGGAAGCAAGAGAGAGAGAGAGAGAGAGCGGCGGUAGGGGUAUAGGAAAUAUAUUGAUAUUUAUUUACGACUGGUAAUAAUAAUUGAUCUCUGGACUGCAACUCUAUGGAGGUAAAGGCUGGUACGGCUUAGCAAGGGGACGAAAAAGGAGAAGAAGGCGAAAGAAGGAGCAAGGCGGUGAAUGGAGGAAGAGAAAAGGGGGCAGAGCGAAGCAGGCUCAGGGUCUGGACUGGCCCAGGGCCUUACGACUUCUUUAUUUCGUCCGGCCGUAUAUCAGCUCCAAACGAAAGGGUUAAAGGUGUACGCUCCACUAAAUAAAUUCGCGACCAUCUCCCGUCUUCCAACCCCGUCUUCGUCUGUCCCCCGUUUUCUCU
rnacentral:misc_RNA from 1 species